rnacentral:rRNA from 1 species
ACUCCUACGGGAGGCAGCAGUGGGGAAUAUUGGACAAUGGGGCACCGUAGCAUCCAGCCAUGCCGCGCUGAGUGAAGAAGGCCCUAGGGUCGUAAAGCUCUUUCAACUGUGAAGAUAAUGACGGUAGCAGUAGAAGAAACCCGCCAGCUACCCGUGCCAGCAGCCGCGGUAAUACGGAGGGGUUAGCGUUGUUCGGAAUUACUGGGCGUAAAGCGCACGUAGGCGGACUAUUAAGUUAGAGGUGAAAUCCCAGGGCUCAACCCUGAACUGCCUUUAAUACUGGUAGUCUUGAGUUCGAGAGAGGUGAGUGGAAUUCCGAGUGUAGAGGUGAAAUUCGUAGAUAUUCGGAGGAACACCAGUGGCGAAGGCGGCUCACUGGCUCGAUACUGACGCUGAGGUGCGAAAGUGUGGGGAGCAAACAGGAUUAGAUACCCUGGUAGA